rnacentral:rRNA from 1 species
GACGAACGCUGGCGGCGUGCUUAACACAUGCAAGUCGAACGGAAAGGCCUGCUUUCCCUUGUGGAUUGCGGGUACUCGAGUGGCGAACGGGUGAGUAACACGUGAGUGAUCUGCCCCCAACUUGGGUAUAAGCCUGGGAAACUGGGUCUAAUUCCCGAUAGGACUGCAGGGUGGUGCCUGUGGUGGAAAACGAUUUUCUAGUGGUUGGGGAUGAGCUCGCGGCCUAUCAGCUUGUUGGUGGGGUAAUGGCCUACCAAGGCGGCGACGGGUAGCCGGCCUGGGAGGGUGGACGGCCACAUUGGGACUAAGAUACGGCCCAGACUCCUACGGGAGGCAGCAGUGGGGAAUAUUGCACAAUGGGCGGAAGCCUGAUGCAGCGACGCCGCGUGGGGGAUGACGGCCUUCGGGUUGUAAACUCCUUUCGACCGCGAGGAAGCCACCUGGUUGGAAGGGUGGUGACGGUAGUGGUAGAAGAAGCACCGGCUAACUACGUG